UGGGUUCGCCCUUCAACUGCCAGCAGGUUUACCUUGAAUAAAUCAGAGUGCUCAAAACAAGUGUUUGCUUGAAUAGCUCAUCAUGGAAUAAUGAAACAGGACUUCGGUUCUUUUUGUUGGUUCUAGAACUGAUUUAAUGGUUAAGAGGGACAAACCGGGGGCAUUCGUAUCAUUACGCGAGAGGUGAAAUUCGUGGACCGUAGUGAGACGCCCAACAGCGAAAGCAUUUGCCAAGAAUGUCUUCAUUAAUCAAGAACGAAAGUCAGAGGUUCGAAGGCGAUUAGAUACCGCCCUAGUUCUGACCGUAAACGAUGCCAUCUCGCGAUUCGGAGGGUUUUUGCCCUGCCGAGGAGCUAUCCGGAAACGAAAGUCUUUCGGUUCCGGGGGUAGUAUGGUUGCAAAGCUGAAACUUAAAGAAAUUGACGGAAGGGCACCACAAGGCGUGGAGCUUGCGGCUUAAUUUGACUCAACACGGGAAAACUCACCCGGUCCGGACACCAUUAGGACUGACAGAUUGAAAGCUCUUUCUCGAUUUGGUGGUUGGUGGUGCAUGGCCGUUCUUAGUUGGUGGAGUGAUUUGUCUGGUUUAUUCCGAUAACGAGCGAGACUCUAGCCUGCUAAAUAGUUGGCGAAUCUUCGGGUUCGUAUAACUUCUUAGAGGGAUAAGCGGUGUUUAGCCGCACGAGAUUGAGCGAUAACAGGUCUGUGAUGCCCUUAGAUGUCCGGGGCUGCACGCGUGCUACACUGGUGGACUCAGCGGGUUUUUCCUAUGCCGAAAGGUAUCGGUAAACCGUUGAAAUUCUUCCAUGUCCGGGAUAGGGUAUUGUAAUUAUUGCCCUUAAACGAGGAAUGCCUAGUAAGUGUGAGUCAUCAGCUCACGUUGAUUACGUCCCUGCCCUUUGUACACACCGCCCGUCGCUAUCCGGGACUGAACUGAUUCGAGAAGAGUGGGGACUGUCGCUUCGAGGUUUAACGACUUCGUUGUUGCGGAAACCAUUUUUAUCGCAUUGGUUUGAACCGGGUAAAAGUCGUAACAAGGUAGCUGUAGGUGAACCUGCAGCUG
rnacentral:rRNA from 1 species